ACUAGAGGUAAACUAGAACCUUAAAGUGGUUGAAAAAGUGAGGGCUAAGUAUGGAAACAUCCUCAUAUAUGCCUGUUAAAUUUGGUCCAGAGGUUCAGUCCAUUAUCAUCAAGACAUGAAUGUGGCAACAUUCAGGCAGGCAAGGUGGAGGAGGAACUCAGAAUUCUACAGCUUCGUCUGAAGGCUGCUAGCAGAAUACUGACUUCCAGUGCUCAGCGGCAGCAGAGUCUGAAGAUGCGGCCCCGGUAACGGCAGGCCCCAGAGAGCCGUUCUCCAAAACCACAGCCUGUGAGUCUGCAAUAGCAGGUCAAGCCUGACUUCACAUCUGGAGAAAUAGAGAUCAGAUACAGUACUUAGUGCCUGAGUCAGCAGGGCAGAAGAGAUCUUAGGCAAGAUAUGUGCUGGGUGAAAUGGUUUCUCCACAUUGAUCAUUACUGAUAGCAGCAUGAGCAAUAAGGAUCAAUAAGAAUAAAUGUACAUGAUAAGAACAAAACUAAAGAAUACUCCUCACUUGA